ensembl:lncRNA novel transcript, antisense to TTC30A
ACAGAGCAGCUAUGUCAACAGAAGGAAAAGAGAUGGAGUGGACCUUCCUGGGAUCCAGGCUGAACAGGGCUCUCCUCACUCUAAGAACAUGAGCCACAUUCAACUUCCACACAUCAUGGUCGUUACAGAAUUCCACAGAUUUGCGGAAGACCUUUUCCACCAUUGGAUAAUUUUCAAGAUUCCAGUAGAUUUUUGCCUGAGCCAUCAACACAGGAAUGUAUUUCUCCAUGGUUUCAUCAUAUUCAUUCACUGCCUUUUUGAUAGCUUCAUCAUCUCUGUUGUGUCUUGCUUCCUGUACUUGCUUGCUGCUCCACCAGGCUCCUGGACCCUGGCAGAUCGCCCUCGCUAUACUUGAUGGCAGCUUGCAGGCGGAGGACCCGGCUGUGGUAGGCGGGGUUAUCCAGGAGAAGGAAGGCGACCCGAGUGGCCUCCGGAUAAAGGCAGGCCUUGUACAGGGCCUGGGCCUGGUACAGGCGGUACUGCUCCAGUUCCGGGUGCAGCUGGCCCAGCUGCUCAUAGCACUCGGCCGCCAGCGCGAACUCCUGCAGGCGGUAGUAGCAGUAGCCUAGCAGCGACAGGCCGGCACGGCU